UAAGCUUCGGAAACGGGGUCUAAUACCUGAUACGACAACUCCAUGCAUGUGGUGGUUGUGGAAAGUUUUUUCGGUGGAGGAUGUGCUCGCGGCCUAUCAGCUUGUUGGUGGGGUAAUGGCCUACCAAGGCUUCGACGGGUAGCCGGCCUGAGAGGGUGACCGGCCACACUGGGACUGAGACACGGCCCAGACUCCUACGGGAGGCAGCAGUGGGGAAUAUUGGACAAUGGGCGGAAGCCUGAUCCAGCAACGCCGCGUGAGGGAUGACGGCCUUCGGGUUGUAAACCUCUUUCAGUACCGACGAAGCGCCCGUUGUGGGUGGUGACGGUAGGUACAGAAGAAGCACCGGCCAACUACGUGCCAGCAGCCGCGGUAAUACGUAGGGUGCGAGCGUUGUCCGGAAUUAUUGGGCGUAAAGGGCUCGUAGGCGGUUUGUCGCGUCGGGAGUGAAAACACCGGGCUUAACUCGGUGCUUGCUUUCGAUACGGGC
rnacentral:rRNA from 1 species